rnacentral:rRNA from 1 species
ACUAAUACUAACUGACUCUGAUAGUGUGAAAGCACUAUUACUUAAACUUUAAAAAUAAAACCAUAAACCACUUUUGGUUGAUUAAAACUUAAAUUUUCAACGAUGGAUGUCUUGGCUCCCAUAUCGAUGAAGAACGCAGCUAGAAUGCGAUAUGCAAUGUGAAUUGCAGAACCACGAAUCAUCGGAUCUUUGAACGCAACUGGCGCUGGUAAAACCAGCAUACUUGUUUCAGUGUGCGCAAACAAAUAAACCAUAUAAAUGUGAGAGAAGUUCUCUCAUGAAAUAUAUGCUCCCUGCAGCAGUCACAUUUAUUUGUGAGCUGAAGGGCUGACUUAUGCCUUAUUUGCACCUGAAAUCAAGUAAGAUGACCCGCUGGACUUAAGCAUAUUACUAAGCGGAGGAAAAGAAAUUAACAAAGAUUGCCUUAGUAAGGGCGACUGAACCGGCAAGAGCUCGAAAUUGGAAUCGAUGAUUCAAAGAAUCUUCGAAUUGUAAUCAGGUCUGCCUAAAUACGAGAGAGCGUUUAAGCACGUCGAACCGUGCGCCAGAGAGGGUGCAAGCCCCGUGUAAUGCUUUCUCGAGUAAGGGAGGCCCCACAAGAGUCGGGUUGCUUGGAACUGCAGCCCUAAGCGGGAGAUAUGAAUCUUCCAAAGCUAAAUAUGGAUGGGAGACCGAUAGCGAACAAGUACUGUGAAGGAAAGAUGAAAAGGACUUUGAAAAGAGAGUGAAAAGAUCUGAAAUCGUUGAGAAGGAAGCGGUAAAAACUGAUGGUCGUACUGAUAGAUAUCGCGGCGAACCGCUGCGUAGUUCUUACCAGAGCGACGGGCAAAAUCAAGUCAGAUGCGCUAAAAAAGGCUUUAGCCGAUUAGGGUGUAUUUGGCUUGAGGGACUAUUGUGAUUUUGCCAAAAUGGUUUUUACCGUCCCGUCUUGAAACACGGACCAAGGAGUCUAACCUAUAUGCGAGUGUGCGAGUGGAGAAACUCAUACGCGGAAUGAAAGUAAAAGGUGCGCAGCGCAAGCUCCAGCAUCGACCGACCUAGUAAGAAAGGUUUGAGUA